rnacentral:rRNA from 1 species
GAUGAACGCUAGCUACAGGCUUGACACAUGCAAGUCGAGGGGAAACGAUGUUGGAAGCUUGCUUCCGAUAGGCGUCGACCGGCGCACGGGUGGGUAACGCGUAUCCAACCUGCCCACCACUUGGGGAUAACCUUGCGAAAGUAAGACUAAUACCCAAUGAUAUCUCUAGAAGACAUCUGAAAGAGAUUAAAGAUUUAUCGGUGAUGGAUGGGGAUGCGUCUGAUUAGCUUGUUGGCGGGGUAACGGCCCACCAAGGCGACGAUCAGUAGGGGUUCUGAGAGGAAGGUCCCCCACAUUGGAACUGAGACACGGUCCAAACUCCUACGGGAGGCAGCAGUGAGGAAUAUUGGUCAAUGGGCGAGAGCCUGAACCAGCCAAGUAGCGUGCAGGAUGACGGCCCUAUGGGUUGUAAACUGCUUUUAUAAGGGAAUAAAGUGAGAGUCGUGACUCUUUUUGCAUGUACCUUAUGAAUAAGGACCGGCUAAUUCCGUGCCAGCAGCCGCGGUAAGAC